GACAUCCAGAGAAUUUAGCAGAGAUGCUUUAGUGCCUUCGGGAACUCUGAGACAGGUGCUGCAUGGCUGUCGUCAGCUCGUGUUGUGAAAUGUUGGGUUAAGUCCGCAACGAGCGCAACCCUUAUCCUUUGUUGCCAGCACGUAAUGGUGGGAACUCAAAGGAGACUGCCGGUGAUAAACCGGAGGAAGGUGGGGAUGACGUCAAGUCAUCAUGGCCCUUACGAGUAGGGCUACACACGUGCUACAAUGGCGUAUACAAAGAGAAGCGACCUCGCGAGAGCAAGCGGACCUCAUAAAGUGCGUCGUAGUCCGGAUUGGAGUCUGCAACUCGACUCCAUGAAGUCGGAAUCGCUAGUAAUCGUAAAUCAGAAUGUUACGGUGAAUACGUUCCCGGGCCUUGUACACACCGCCCGUCACACCAUGGGAGUGGGUUGCAAAAGAAGUAGAUAGCUUAACCUUCGGGAGGGCGUUUACCACUUUGUGAUUCAUGACUGGGGUGAAGUCGUAACAAGGUAAGCGUAGUGCU
rnacentral:rRNA from 1 species